rnacentral:rRNA from 1 species
UUACGUGCGAAGGGGCUACCUCGAGUGCCACCUGAUGAAGGUGGCUUUUCCUAGGUCUAAAAAGCCUUGGGAAUAAGAGGGGGGCAAGACUGGUGUCAGCCGCCGCGGUAACACCAGCCCCUCGAGUGGUGGGGAUGAUUAUUGGGCCUAAAGCGUCCGUAGCCUGCCGUGUAAGUUUCCCGUUAAAUCCAGCGUCUUAAGCGUUGGACCGCGGGAAAUACUGUACGGCUAGAGAGUGGGAGAGGUCAGCGGUAUUCUGGGGGUAGGGGCGAAAUCCUUUGAUCCCCGGAGGACCACCAGUGGCGAAGGCUGCUGUCUAGAACACGUCUGACGGUCAGGGACGAAAGCUGGGGUAGCGAACCGGAUUAGAUACCCGGGUAGUCCCAGCCGUAAACGAUGCAUGCUAGGUGUUGGGUUGGCCACGAGCCACCCCAGUGCCGCAGGGAAGCCGUUAAGCAUGCCGCCUGGGAAGUACGAUCGCAAGGUUGAAACUUAAAGGAAUUGGCGGGG